rnacentral:lncRNA from 1 species
UCAUUCUUUUCUGUCAUGUGAACUUAAAUACAAUAUUAAAUGCUCAAUCUUUUGAUCUUACCACUCAUAAAUAAAUAAAUCAUGUAACACAACUUUAUCUUGUUUAAUGUGCCUAAGGAUGGAGAAAAAGAAAUAGAUUUAGUUCUGUUGGUGUUUUUCCACCAGCAGAGCUCAUGCACUUGAUCUCUACCUUAGUUUUGCAAACAGAACAACACAUCAAGCGAAGUUUAUUAAUUCUACAAGUGAAAGUUCUGUGAACAUGCACACUGAGCAAGAUGCUGCCAGCUACUAUUAAAACUCUCCUUCAACCUGCUAGCCAAAUCAAAGAACAAAUGUGACAUCAUCAUCACUAGAGGUAUGCAACUAACAAGACCUCCAUCUCUCAAGAUGGAGAGAUACACAAGAGUGGAAGAAGAAGUCCUUUGGUAAAUUUUAAAAAAUUAUAUUCUUGCCAUAAGAUAAUAUGGUAGUUAUAUAUUUAAUUAGUAUUUCUAUCUACAUUAAUAAAUUUACCUUAACAUAUUCAUCUUCAUAACUAUUAAAAUUAAAAUAAAAGAAAAUAAAAAUCUUUAUUCCUUCAUUUACUACAUCAUAAAAUAUUUAAAACCCCAUGUGAAUAAACUUAUGAUAACCAUAUAGGAAUAUUUACUAGGGUGGCAUAAAUAAUAAUAGCUCAUGUAUUUACUUUCUUGUAGUAUAAAAAAAACCCUAAGUCCCAUAAGAAUAAAUAUUCUCUGUGGAGGCAUAAAAAUACAACUAUAUAUAUCAUGCACACAUAUUUAAUUUCUAUAUAAUUAAACUAGAAAAUCCUAAAAAGAGAAUCCUGCUAGAAUCUGUCAAUUCAAAUCAACUCAAAGAACAAUCAAUCAAUUACUCGCUGGCCGC